AAAGCCCUAACAGAAGCAGCAGCAACGCUGCAACUUCAGGGAUCAAAAGAAGAAGAAAAAAAAGGGACUCUUCUUGUUCUAUAGUGAGCGAACGAACGAAGGAGAAACAUAAAUUUAAAUUGAAAGCCUUAGCUCUCAAACUAAAGAGAGAGGUGGAAGAAGAAGAAGAACGAGAAGAAGGUAAGUUUCUUAACUUAGUCUAAAGGUUGAAUUUGUAUCUUCCAUGACUAUAAGAUUGGGAAUUGGGAAGUUGAGAAACAUGGGUUUAGAAGAAAAAGAGGAAAUUUAUUUCAUUCUUAUGAACCAAGUGAAUAUAGUCAAUGAUUUGAACUAUAAACUUUGGUAUUGGGCUUAUAUGCAAUAAGAGUAAUUGGGCAGUAAGGUUAGGUUGAUCUUUUUACAGCGAGAAUUGACCAAGAAGAGACUAAUGUGUGUGAUUAAAGCACUAAUUAAGUGAUUGGGCAGAUUUCGAAUCAGUCAUGAAACCUCUAGGGCUGAGUUUUUAUUUUAUUUUUAAAUGUAGUAUGAAUUACCUAAAUGAAGGAGUUAACACGAAAUUAUUAUGAAUGUGAUUAUAGAUUGACCAAAGGAAUUCAUACGGAGUAAUUGAGUGGCAAGCUUGGUAACUCAAAACAAGUACAGUGAGUAGUAAUCUUACCACAAUUGAUGUUUUAUAACUUGCAUGACUUUCACAUGAUUUAUAAAGCAAAUGUGUUACCGAAUGUUUUAAACUUGCAUGUGGG
rnacentral:lncRNA from 1 species